rnacentral:rRNA from 1 species
UUAAAAAGCUCGUAGUUGAAUUUCGGGAUUGACGUGACGGUCGUGCCUUACGGGGUAUGAACUGUCGCCGUUGAUUUCUCACCUUCUGGAGAAGCUCGAUGUCCUUAAUUGGGUGUCUUGCGGAACCAGGACCUUUACCUUGAAAAAAUUAGAGUGUUUAAAGCAGGCAUUAUUGCUCGAAUACAUUAGCAUGGAAUAAUAGAAUAGGACGGCAUGGUUCUAUUUUGUUGGUUUCUAGGAUCACCGUAAUGAUUAAUAGGGAUAGUUGGGGG